rnacentral:rRNA from 1 species
UACGUAGGGUGCGAGCGUUGUCCGGAAUUACUGGGCGUAAAGAGCUCGUAGGUGGUUUGUCGCGUUGUUCGUGAAAUCUCACGGCUUAACUGUGAGCGUGCGGGCGAUACGGGCAGACUAGAGUACUGCAGGGGAGACUGGAAUUCCUGGUGUAGCGGUGGAAUGCGCAGAUAUCAGGAGGAACACCGGUGGCGAAGGCGGGUCUCUGGGCAGUAAAUGACUUUGAGGAGCGAAAGCGUGGGGAGCGAACAGG